AUGAACGCUAGCGACAGGCUUAACACAUGCAAGUCGAGGGGCAGCAUGGUCAGUAGCAAUACCGACUGAUGGCGACCGGCGCACGGGUGAGUAACGCGUAUGCAACCUGCCCUGUACAGGGGGAUAGCCCAUGGAAACGUGGAUUAAUAUCCCAUAGUAAUCAUGAUAGGCAUCUAUUUUGAUUUAAAUCUUCGGAGGUACAGGAUGGGCAUGCGUCCUAUUAGAUAGUUGGCGGGGUAACGGCCCACCAAGUCUUUGAUAGGUAGGGGUUCUGAGAGGAAGGUCCCCCACACUGGUACUGAGACACGGACCAGACUCCUACGGGAGGCAGCAGUGAGGAAUAUUGGUCAAUGGGCGAUAGCCUGAACCAGCCAAGUCGCGUGAGGGAAGACUGCCCUAUGGGUUGUAAACCUCUUUUGUAAGUGGAGAAUAAGCGUUACGUGUAGCGCGAUGACUGUAACUUACGAAUAAGCAUCGGCUAACUCCGUGCCAGCAGCCGCGGUAAUACGGAGGAUGCGAGCGUUAUCCGGAUUUAUUGGGUUUAAAGGGUGCGUAGGCGGCACUAUAAGUUAGUGGUAAAAUUUCCGGGCUUCACCCGGAUUCGCCAUUAAUACUGUAGAGCUCGAGUACAGACGAGGUAGGCGGAAUAAGUUAAGUAGCGGUGAAAUGCAUAGAUAUAACUUAGAACUCCGAUAGCGAAGGCAGCUUACCAGACUGUAACUGACGCUGAUGCACGAGAGCGUGGGUAUCGAACAGGAUUAGAUACCCUGGUAGUCCACGCCGUAAACGAUGGAUACUAGGUGUAGGAAAUGAUUUCAUUUUCUGUGCCGUCGCAAACGCAAUAAGUAUCCCACCUGGGGAGUACGGCCGCAAGGUUGAAACUCAAAGGAAUUGACGGGGGCCCGCACAAGCGGAGGAACAUGUGGUUUAAUUCGAUGAUACGCGAGGAACCUUACCUGGGUUUAAAUGUAUUCUGCAUAAACUGGAAACAGUUUUUUCCUUCGGGACUGAUUACAAGGUGCUGCAUGGUUGUCGUCAGCUCGUGCCGUGAGGUGUCGGGUUAAGUCCCAUAACGAGCGCAACCCUUAUCACUAGUUGCCAUCAGGUAAUGCUGGGCACUCUAUUGAGACUGCCACCGUAAGGUGAGAGGAAGGGGGGGAUGACGUCAAAUCAGCACGGCCCUUACACCCAGGGCGACACACGUGUUACAAUGGCCGGUACAGAGGGUCGCUACCUGGUGACAGGAUGCUAAUCUCGAAAUCCGGUCGUAGUUCGGAUUGGAGUCUGUAACCCGACUCCAUGAAGUUGGAUUCGCUAGUAAUCGCGCAUCAGCCAUGGCGCGGUGAAUACGUUCCCGGGCCUUGUACACACCGCCCGUCAAGCCAUGGAAGCCGGGAGUACCUGAAGUCCGUAACCGCAAGGAUCGGCCUAAGGUAAUACUGGUAACUGGGGCU
rnacentral:rRNA from 1 species